AAGUAAUCCUUCCUGGUUGGCGUGACUUCCAGCCGACAGAACAAGCAGCUCCUGCAGAAGCUGGUGUCGUCCCUCUCCUCCGCCUGCCUCUCCAGCACCCACUCCUGCGACAGGGAGGGUCCCUCGUUGGCUGACGUCCGUUUGAACAAACCAUGACUUUGUUCACGUGAGCUGCACUUUUAGCAACUGCUGCCUUACAGGACGAUGCUACGAUAAAAUACCCCUGUGUGCGGGCUUCCUCCUUCACGUGUUUGCACUGCGAGUAGCCGCGCUUCCUGCCUGCUCGCUUCGUCGAUCAGAGAGACUGGCUGCUGUUGCUGCUGUUUGCUGGACUGUCUUUGAAGAUGUUGCCACGGCCACUUUGUGGGUGACUGUGAACCGUCCAUCAUCAAGCUAACAAUGAGGAACUCAAGACUGCCGCUGUAAACUGGUUUAAUUCCCAAGUGGCAAACUUCUCUGCAGAGGGGUUAAAGAAACUGGUGCAGCCUUAUGAAAAAAAAAUGCUUACAAAUGAAUGUGAUUAUGUGGAAAAGUGAAGUAGAUAUGUACUAUGUAGUGAAAAAAAAAUGUCAUUAAAAACCUUUUGGAUGCCUAUA